CCUACGGGAGGCAGCAGUGAGGAAUAUUGGUCAAUGGACGAGAGUCUGAACCAGCCAAGUAGCGUGAAGGAUGACUGCCCUAUGGGUUGUAAACUUCUUUUAUAUGGGAAUAAAAUGUUCCACGUGUGGGAUUUUGUAUGUACCAUAUGAAUAAGGAUCGGCUAACUCCGUGCCAGCAGCCGCGGUAAUACGGAGGAUCCGAGCGUUAUCCGGAUUUAUUGGGUUUAAAGGGAGCGUAGGUGGAGUGUUAAGUCAGUUGUGAAAGUUUGCGGCUCAACCGUAAAAUUGCAGUUGAAACUGGCAGUCUUGAGUACAGUAGAGGUGGGCGGAAUGCGUGGUGUAGCGGUGAAAUGCUUAGAUAUCACGAAGAACUCCGAUUGCGAAGGCAGUUCACUGGACUGCAACUGACACUGAGGCUCGAAAGUGUGGGUAUCAAACAGGAUUAGAUACCCGUGUAGUC
rnacentral:rRNA from 1 species